rnacentral:rRNA from 1 species
GGUUGUGUCGCCAGACGCAUUGCCCGGUAGCUAAGUUCGGAAUUGAUAAGCGCUGAAAGCAUCUAAGCGCGAAGCGAGCCCUGAGAUGAGUCUUCCCUGACGGUUUAACCGUCCUAAAGGGUUGUUCGAGACUAGAACGUUGAUAGGCAGGGUGUGUAAGCGUUGUGAGGCGUUGAGCUAACCUGUACUAAUUGCCCGUGAGGCUUAACCA